GGAGAGGUGGCCGAGUGGCCGAAGGCAACGGUUUGCUAAACCGUCACAGGGCCAAAAGCCUUGUCGCGGGUUCAAAUCCCGCCCUCUCCGCCA
rnacentral:tRNA from 9 species